GUGUCAGCAGCCGCGGUAAUACGGAGGGUGCGAGCGUUGAUCGGAAUUACUGGGCGUAAAGCGUACGCAGGCGGUUUGUUAAGCGAGAUGUGAAAGCCCCGGGCUCAACCUGGGAACUGCAUUUCGAACUGGCAAACUAGAGUGUGAUAGAGGGUGGUAGAAUUUCAGGUGUAGCGGUGAAAUGCGUAGAGAUCUGAAGGAAUACCGAUGGCGAAGGCAGCCACCUGGGUCAACACUGACGCUCAUGUACGAAAGCGUGGGGAGCAAACAGGAUUAGAUACCCUGGUAGUCCACGCCGUAAACGAUGUCUACUAGAAGCUCGGGUCCUCGGACUUGUUUUUCAAAGCUAACGCAUUAAGUAGACCGCCUGGGGAGUACGGCCGCAAGGUUAAAACUCAAAGGAAUUGGCGG
rnacentral:rRNA from 1 species